ACCUCACUUUUAAAGUAAGUUUACGAGACUCAUUAAAGCACACGGUCUCGAUCUUGUGCAGAUUGUAGGCAAAAACUCAGUUAAAUCUCACUUGUCAGAAUGCAAAAGGAACGCGCAUUCAACUGAGUUAUGACGUCACAAGCGAGAAUUAUCUGAGGAUCGGUGUAAAUGGAAAGCAACUAAUAAUCAUUACGCAAGGU